rnacentral:rRNA from 1 species
GACGAACGCUGGCGGCGUGCUUAACACAUGCAAGUCGAACGGAGUGGCGAACGGGUGAGUAACACGUGGGUGACCUGCCCUGCACUUCGGGAUAAGCCUGGGAAACUGGGUCUAAUACCGGAUAGUGUGGGAUGGGCUCGCGGCCUAUCAGCUUGGGGGUGGGGUAAUGGCCUACCAAGGAGGCGACGGGUAGCCGGCCUGCGAGGGUGGACGGCCAAAUGGGGACUGAGAGACGGACCAGAGUCCUACGGGAGGCAGCAGUGGGGAAGAGUGCACAAUGGGCGGAAGCCUGAUGCAGCGACGCCGGGUGGGGGAUGACGGCCUUCGGGUUGUAAACUCCUUUCACCAUCGACGCGGUAGAUGGAGAAGAAGCACCGGCUAACUACGUGCCAGCCGCCGCGGUAAUUC